rnacentral:lncRNA from 1 species
AGGGGUGAGAACAAGUUGUUCCCACCCCCGGUACCCAAAAUGCCCACAGUUUAAUGGGUACUCACCUGUUUUACCCGUAAUUUUUUGGGUUUGAAAAGUUGGUAUCCAUAUCCGCAAAUUUGCGGGUAACUUGCGGGCACCCGCGGGUAUGGGUCGAGAUUGCCAGGUCUACUUGGUUGUCUCCAUUUUGUAAGCCUAAUUCAUCUCCCUAAUGAAUGAAGCGGGUAGCGUUUUAUACGCUACCUAUUUCUCAAAAAAAAAAAAAAAAUGAU